CUCGACCUCUCAAGGACUCAUGGAGUCUCAGCCCGAAUCAGUUUCCAACUUGGAGAACCUGUGUAUGCUCUUAUUAAAUAACUGUAAGAGGUUAAGGGAGGUACUGUCCUUAGCAAAGCUGAAGCAUCUAAGGUUUUUGAACCUAUAUGCGACUGGCAUCAAAGAAGUGCCAGAUGGGAUGGAAUGUUUGGUUAACCUAAAAGAGCUUUAUGUUUCAUCUGCUGAAGUGACAAAUAGGAUAAAUGCUGGUGGUAGCAAUUCCUUAAUGCUUCCUGAUCGUAUUAUUAAGCUGAAAAUGGAGAGAUGCGAGCUGUCAAGCUUACACUGCCUGUCUCGCUUGCAACACUUACAGUCAUGUGAUAUCUAGUGGUGUUACAUAAAGUGGUUGUUGCCGAUAGGAGACAACAGCACCAUAAUUCCGUCUUUACCUUCAAUACGGUAUCUGUUUCUAAUAGAUCUUCCGAAUUUAAGGGGUCUGAGUGAGGGAGUCUUGAUGCCUGGCUCAUUUGCAUGCCUCAGAAACCUGAGUGUCUUGGGAUGCCAAGCAUUGGAGAAUGUCAUGUCAAUUGAAUUGUUUCAGCACCUCCAAUACCUCCAAUACAUCAGUAUUAUGGGAUGCAGUGAGAUAGAGGAGGUGAUAAAGGAGAAGAAGGUGAUAACAACAACAAUAACAAUACCAUCAUCCUACUCAACUUGAAGCGGCUGGAAUUGAUAAAUUUUGGGAAAUUGAAAAGCAUUUGUAAGCGGGUAAUCAUUUGCCCUUCCCUGAUUAUGAUUCAUAUAACUGGUUGUCCUCGGCUGAAGAAGGAUCCUUUUUUGGCAACUCAACAUCUGUUAUGAGAGGAAUUAUCAGAGGAAGCAAAGAGUGCUGGGAUGCAUUGGAGUGGGAUGAUCCCAACACCAAAACACUCCUCCUACCUCUUUUUCAAGAAGAAGAAGAAGAAGGACGUGGAAUGAAAAGAAAAUCAGAACAAGUAGAAGAGAUUGCAUCUACGUCACAGCACCAAUAAUCCAGUUUGGCUUUCUAUGCUUUUUUAAUUUACUUACCUAUUUCUUCGUUUUUUAUUUCAAAUGUAAUGUUACCGAGGAUGUCUUGUCUUCUUCUCUCUAUCUGUAAAUGAUGUCAACGGAACUUUACCACAACUAAUGGGAGAAUCACAUCACACGUUUCGAUGUAGCACACGUUUAUGAAAAGGAUGAAGAGACUCUAGUCCACACAAAUUUUACAUCGU